rnacentral:lncRNA from 1 species
UUUCACUUUUGACCCCAUUUGGUCACCAAAAACUGUGCCGAACUGUAAUCUUUAUCAGAUAACCCUCGGAUUUUAUUUCUCACUCUACGGGUGUCAGAAAAAUAUGAAACUUUAAAUCUAGCCUCAUAAAAAUAUUUCUGACAUCUCUGCCAAUUUUCAUAAUUUUCUGACACUAUGCAUUUUCUGCUAAUUUAUCUGUCCCGUUUUUUACAGAAAAUUCUAAAUCUUCUGUUUUCGCUCCGAUUUCAGCACAGGUCAUUCCCAACUUAUAUUUCAUUUCUCUAAAUCCAAUAAAAAUAGUAUCUCAUACUAUUUUUAUUUAUUUUUACUUUUAUAUUUAAAAUCCGGUAUAUUACAUUCCACCGCAACCUCACCGAAACCAUUUAAAUAUACACCGUAACUUCAUAGUUUUAGAAGUCCGAUACCUUACAGCACCCUU